GCAGUAAGGAAACAGCGAUGCAGGCAGCAGGAUCCUCUGAUGCUCCUCCGUCUCAUUCACAUGUGGGUUGCAACUAAAGCUCGUUUUUUUCCUGAAGGCAGGUGCGGCAUUGCUUGUCCAACUCAUAAAUGCUUCCGCAACUAAUUGUGGGUGCGGGAGGGGGUGGAGUUUUAGUGAACUGCGUUGACUUUAUUAAGCUCGGCUUCAACUGAAACCGAAAUCAGUGGGAGGUGUGGAAGGGAAGAAGGUGGGGUAGACAGAUAGUUCAUAAGGGAAUAGGCCUGGAAACAAACUUGACAAUGAGACGUUCUCUUUAUGACUUUGGCUUUUUUUCGAAUAAAGAAAGAACUGUGGACGGUGAUUAGUAGACGAGGGAGUGGAAUCCAUCGCCCUUUCCAGGGGAGUGCUUUUCACUUCUAGACUGACCUUCUGCAAAGAGGAGGUGCAGGUUUUCCCUUUUCUGUUGUGAAGAAUAC
rnacentral:lncRNA from 1 species